rnacentral:rRNA from 1 species
GGGUCGUGAAGACUCUAUCAGUUAGUAUUUGUUCUCGAAAGGGCUAUGAUUAAUAUUGAAUAAUCAGACAUAGUACGCUAAGGUUGUAUGUCUAAAGGGAAACAGCCCAGAACAAGUGUUAAUAAGGUUCCAAAAUUAUUAUUAAGUGAAACAAAGGUAGUUUAUGUCUUAAACGUCCAGGAAAUAGGCUUAGAAGCGGCCAUUUUUUAAAGACCUCGUAACAGAGCACUGGUUUAAUCUAAUUUAUAUAAAAUAUUGAUACAGCUGUAAGUGUAUUAAAUAUAAUUUAGAUCGAUAAAAGCACCGACGAUUCAACGGAUCUAAAUAAUAUACCGAAACCUUGUCCAUAUAUAUCUAUAUAUACUUGAAGAAAAAUAAAAAAAACAGAAAAAAACAGAAAAAAACAGAAAAAGAUCUUUGUGAGUUAUAUAUAAUAUAAUGGGGUAGCGGAACAUUGGGCAAACCACACCUUUUUUUUAUAAAAAAACUUUAGGUACCCCAAGUGAUAAUGCUGACAUGAGUAACGAUAAAGGGAAAAAAAAAUCCCUCGCCUAAAGCUUAUGGCAUUUAGUUAAAGUAACGGCCUCUAAGUUUAUAUAUAAAACUUAUAUACACUAGAUAUCUAGUAUAUAAGUUAACCUAAGGGAUUAAACGAUGAGCAAACCUAUAGAGGUACAAAUAAAUAACAUUUAUAUACAGUUAUAAGAAUAAAACUUAAGAAAAAGAAAUAACAUUUAUAUACAGUUAUGAUGAGGACGAUAGAAAAAUAAAUAACAUUUAUAUACAGUUAUAAGAAUAAAACUUAAGAAAAAGAGAUAAUUGUGUUAAAGUGAUAAAUGUUCUGGAAAAUAGUAUCUAGAUAUAUAAUUAUUUAUAUGAGUAGUAUAAAGAAAAUAUAGAUUUUAACAAUACCGUACCUAAAAACUACCACAAGUAAGCAAGUAGAG